rnacentral:rRNA from 1 species
UCACAAUAUUCCUUUGAAGAAGAAGCAACGAGAUGCAAAAUUGUCCUUGACAACGCUAAACCCAACCUCCCAGCCGUUGAACCAGAAUCCAAGGCCCGAUACCCUCCCUGGUCGGCCGGGGUUUUAACGCGGUCCUCUCGAAUCCUCAGUUCCCCUUCCCGGUCCAAGGAGAGCAACUUCGAGAAGGAGGCGGCGAGGGCGAGCAGGGAGCGGAAGAGAUGGAGAACGGCAGCAGCAAAGGCGACGUCCCGGAGGACGCCAACGCUCAUUGCCCUGGAACACAGUCUGAUGAGGCGGGGAAGGCCGAUUCCUGCGCCGGAUGCCCUAACCAGCAGAUUUGCGCCACCGCCCCCAAGGGCCCCGAUCCUGACUUGGUUGCUAUUGCUGAGCGGAUGGCUACUGUGAAACACAAGAUACUGGUUUUGUCAGGAAAGGGAGGUGUUGGAAAGAGCACAUUUUCAGCCCAGCUCUCAUUUGCCCUAGCUGAAAUGGACCAUCAGGUUGGCCUUCUCGACAUAGACAUAUGUGGCCCUAGCAUCCCGAAAAUGUUAGGCGUUGAAGGCCAGGAUAUUCAUCAGAGCAACCUUGGGUGGUCACCGAUCUACGUUGAGUCCAACCUUGGUGUCAUGUCGAUUGGUUUUAUGCUGCCUAACCCAGAUGAUGCGGUCAUAUGGAGGGGUCCUCGCAAGAACAGAUUGAUCAAACAGUUCCUCAAGGAUGUUGACUGGGGUGAGAUUGACUACCUUGUAGUGGAUGCACCCCCUGGAACAUCAGACGAGCACAUCUCAAUCGUCCAGUACCUACAAGCCACCGAAGUUGAUGGCGCGAUAAUCGUGACGACCCCGCAGCAAGUCUCUCUAAUUGACGUGAGGAAGGAAAUCAAUUUCUGCAAGAAGGUGGGUGUGCCGGUGCUGGGCGUUGUGGAGAACAUGAGUGGCCUGAGGCAGGCGUUCACAGACCUCAAGUUCGUAAAGCCAGGUCCCGCAGGGGAGACGGAUGCCACGGAGUGGGCGAUGAACUACAUCAAGGAGAAGGCUCCGGAGCUUUUGUCGGUCGUGGCCUGCAGCGAGGUGUUUGACAGCAGCAAGGGUGGCGCAGAGAAGAUGUGCCAUGAGAUGGGGGUCCCUUUCCUCGGCAAGGUGCCGAUGGACCCGCAGCUGUGCAAGGCAGCUGAGGAAGGGAGGUCGUGCUUCGCCGAUCAGAGGUGCAGCGCCAGUGCGCCGGCUCUGAAAAGCAUCAUCGACAAGCUGAUCAAAACCAAGUAAGCAGACAGUGUUUGUGCCUGUUGGAGAAGUACCACUAGUCAAAAAUGUUACGAUGAUAUCUGGGGAGUCUCGUUGUACAAUUGCUUGUUACACGCCCGAGUGGCUUUCACUCUGUCCUUAGUUUCCUAAAGCCUUUUGGCUUGUGUAUCCGUUUUUUUUUCCAGAAAUAUUGAGCGUUAAUGCGAUAGAGGCUGAAAUUGCUGAAAUUACAGACUUCCGGCUUGCAGAUUUUAAUUGU